rnacentral:rRNA from 1 species
UCCAGUGCGAUGGCAAAGAGGCCACACCCGUUCCCAUCCCGAACACGCAGUUAAGCUCUUUUGCGCCGAUGGUAGUUGGGGUCUCCCCCUGUGAGAGUAGGACGUCGCUGGGC